ensembl:snRNA U1 U1 spliceosomal RNA
AUACUUACCUGGCAGGGGAGAUACCAUGAUCAUGAAAGUGGUUUUCCCAGGGUGAGGCUUAUCCAUUGCACUUUGUGUGUGCUGAUCCCUGUGAUUUCCCCAAAUGUGGGAAAAUCAACUGCACAAUUUGUAGUAGUGGAGGACUGUGUUUGUGCUUUCCCCUG